rnacentral:rRNA from 1 species
GCCAGACUCCUACGGGAGGCAGCAGUGGGGAAUAUUGGACAAUGGGGGGAACCCUGAUCCAGCGACGCCGCGUGAGUGAAGAAGUAUUUCGGUAUGUAAAGCUCUCUCAGCAGGGAAGAAAGAAAUGACGGUACCUGACUAAGAAGCCCCGGCUAACUACGUGCCAGCAGCCGCGGUAAUACGUAGGGGGCAAGCGUUAUCCGGAUUUACUGGGUGUAAAGGGAGCGUAGGCGGCAGUGCAAGUCUGAAGUGAAAGGCGGGGGCCCAACCCCCGGACUGCUUUGGAAACUGUGCUGCUGGAGUGCAGGAGAGGUAAGUGGAAUUCCUAGUGUAGCGGUGAAAUGCGUAGAUAUUAGGAGGAACCCCAGUGGCGAAGGCGGCUUACUGGACUUUAACUGACGUUGAGGCUCGAAAGCGUGGGGAGCAAACAGGAUUAGAUACCCUUGUAGC